UCCCUGGUGGCUCAGAUGGUAAAGUGUCUGCCUACAAUGCGGGAGACCCGGGUUCGAUCCCUGGGUUGGGAA
rnacentral:tRNA from 1 species